rnacentral:snRNA from 1 species
GGAUGUGAGGGCGAUCUGGCUGCGACAUCUGUCACCCCAUUGAUCCUAGGGUUGACUCAGCUGAUCUGGCUGGCUAGGCAGGUGUCCCCUUCCUCUCUCACCUCUCCAUGCGCGCCCCUCCUGAAGCUGGGUGCUCAGUCGAAGGGGACGGCCUUCCCCGAAUAGAGGAGGAGCGGUCUUCAGUCAAGGGUAUACAAGUAGCUGCGCUCCCUGCUAGAACCUCCAAACAAGCUCUCAAGUAUAAAUUGAGUCUGAGGCCAGACUGGGAUACAUGCGACAGAUCUCAAAACAG